rnacentral:rRNA from 1 species
UGGGGAAUUUUGGACAAUGGGCGAAAGCCUGAUCCAGCAAUGCUGCGUGUGUGAAGAAGGCCUUCGGGUUGUAAAGCACUUUUGUCCGGAAAGAAAUCCUCUGGGUUAAUACCUCGGGGGGAUGACGGUACCGGAAGAAUAAGCACCGGCUAACUACGUGCCAGCAGCCGCGGUAAUACGUAGGGUGCAAGCGUUAAUCGGAAUUACUGGGCGUAAAGCGUGCGCAGGCGGUUUUGUAAGACGGAUGUGAAAUCCCCGGGCUUAACCUGGGAACUGCAUUCGNGACUGCAAGGCUAGAGUAUGGCAGAGGGGGGUAGAAUUCCACGUGUAGCAGUGAAAUGCGUAGAGAUGUGGAGGAAUACCGAUGGCGAAGGCAGCCCCCUGGGCCAAUACUGACGCUCAUGCACGAAAGCGUGGGGAGCAAACA